rnacentral:rRNA from 1 species
AUUGAACGCUGGCGGCAGGCUUAACACAUGCAAGUCGAACGAGUGGCGGACGGGUGAGUAAUGCUUGGGAAUCUGGCUUAUGGAGGGGGAUAACGACGGGAAACUGUCGCUAAUACCGCGUACCAAAGGAUGAGCCCAAGGUGGAGUAGGUAGUUGGGGGGGUAAUGGCCUAGCAAGCCGACGAUCCCUAGCUGGUCUGAGAGGAUAACGAGCCACCAGGGGGCUGGGACACUGACUGGCCGCUGACGGGAGGCAGCGUUGGGGAUUAUUGCGCAAUGUGGGCAACGUGACUCAGUCAUGGCGCGUGAAUGAAGAAGGCCGUCGGGUUGUAGAGUUCUUUCGGUGACGAGGCGUUAAUCACAGAAGAAGCACCGGCUAACUCCGUGCCAGCAGCCGCGGUAAUAC